GUCCAGGAUAAUAUUAUCUAGUAUCCUUACAGAGCAGAGAAUACCUCCAAAAAAGCCAUCAGCUAGGGAAACAAUACUUGGGGAAGGGGUGGAAAGAAGGGGCCUUUUCCUGCUUUAUCAUCUCUGCCUCUCAUAAACAACCCAAGCUCUUCUUUUUGGAGCUGUAGCAAGGGUAGCUAUGACUGUGGGUGUGUAAUGUCACAAAUACUAAGCCCUGCUGUCUUUCUGAGGGGUAGUGAAAAGGAAGAUUGCCAAGCAGUCCAGUCAAGAGAGAGAAGCAGAUGUAAAUAACGUGAAUGGCCCCAUUUCCUCUAGGCAUUUGAACUUGAGAGCAUUUUGUUAUCAAGCACAGGAGUAAGACCCUCAAACUGACGCAAGACCUACCGAGAAAACCCUUUGCCAAAUCUGCUCUCAGCAAGUGGACAGUGAUACCGUUUACAGCUUAACACCUUUGUGAGCCCGCGCGUUUCCCACCCCAGCAGAGACUGUUAUCGGCCCCUUCCCCUGGGUGAAGCACUUACCCUCGCACAGAACUCUCUCUAUAAUGUAUGCAAAACCUUCUUUGUACGGGGUGACAGCCACCUGCCAGCGAAGGACAGCACCUGCCAGCACCGCCCACCCCGUUCAGAGCACACCGUCAGCCGGCGGGCCAUCCUUUGGUGUUUUAAUAGCGCGAUGGUUUAUGGGAUGUGUUAAGCGUUGUUUUGUGUUCGUUUUCCUUUGACUUUCAGUUUCUCACAUGCAUUGACUUGGAGUCUUUUUAUGUUAAAGUGUUAACCAUCCUUCCCCUGGCACAUUUACAAACAGAAAAUGUACCAGCUACUGCGCUGGCUUUGGGUGUCACAAACGUCCAAACCUGUAGAACUCCCCAAACUAACAUAUUACGUAAACUAGAGGAGGUUUUUCUGUCUUCUCUACUUUGGUAGAAAACUAUUGUUUUCUUAAAAAAAAAAAGUCAACAGUGGCACGAGUGUUGGCUGUGCACAGCGGCCCAGGACAGAGCCCUGCAUCUGCAAACUGAAGGGUGCCCAGCGUCUGCCCCCGAGUGCUGGUCCUGAGUCAGGGCGGUCGGGCGACAGUACCCUGGCCCUGGCCUGCAGUUGCCAGAUGGGUUUGGCCUGCGGUCUCCUGUCAGUAUCCUCAGCUCACGCAGUCACAGUGAUCAUACGCUGGUUAAAAAUUAGGAUCUCUUCGAGAAGAAAUCUGCUCAGCUCUUCACUCAUUGCCAAAGGCCACUAAUGGAUUUAGUUUUAAGGAGAAAAGAAAAGGAAAAAAAAAAAAACGUAGUCUUGUUUUGCUUUGCAGAAGUGAACUUACAGGUAAACAUUAAGCCUGCAGUGAGAAAUGUGUGGAAAGUACAAACCCGAGUCACUCUUUUUUCUAAAUGCACACCCUUGAUUACUUUUAGCCUUGCUCUGUAUAAUCUGAUCUAGUAGACGUGUAUGAAGGAGAGGCAAUAGCAUACAAACUGAUUCUUUUUUUUAAUAUAAAUAAGCUUAGGUUGUUAAUUAUACAAGUGACUCAAUGGAAGUACAAGAUAGGGCCGUUUUGACCUCCCUCCUCCCACUUUUCCUGCUUGUAUGGAUUUCAUUUUUUUCUUUUCAAAAAGUUAUGGUGCUGUAUAGGUGCUUUCUGUUUAACCCAGAAAGUGUGAUUAUAUUAGUUGCCCUCUUUGGUAGACAGAGUAGUUGGGAACACCUUUGGUACAUAUGAAACUGGGACAAUGAAGCUCUGAUUGGCACAGCAUAUGCAUACUUCUCCAAAAAGGUAUAUGAAGACUCUUUUCUUGCAUAUAAAGCAUUAGGCAUACAAAUGUAUAAA
ensembl:lncRNA